rnacentral:rRNA from 1 species
AUUUCCCUAGUAACGGCGAGUGAAGAGGAAAGAGCUCAAAGUUGGAACCUGUUUGGCCUAGCUAAACCGGAUUGUAGACUGUAGAAGUGUUUUCCAGGCAAGCCGAGUAAAUAAGUCCUUUGGAACAGGGCAUCAUAGAGGGUGAGAAUCCCGUCUUUGGCUUGAGCAUUUGCCUUUUGUGAUACGCUUUCAAAGAGUCAGGUUGUUUGGGAAUGCAGCCUAAAUUGGGUGGUAAAUCUCACCUAAAGCUAAAUAUUGGCGAGAAACCGAUAGCGAACAAGUACCGUGAGGGAAAGAUGAAAAGAACUUUGAAAAGAGAGUUAAACAGUAUGUGAAAUUGUUAAAAGGGAACCGUUUGGAGCCAGACUGGCUUGUCUGUAAUCAAUCUAGGCUUCGGCCUGGAUGCACUUGCAGGCUAUGCCUGCCAACGACAAUUUGACUUGAGGGAAAAAACUAGGGGAAAUGUGGCCCACUUGUGGGUGUUAUAGUCCCUUAGAAAAUACCUUGGGUUGGAUUGAGGAACGCAGCGAAUGCUUAUUGGCGAGUUUUCCAGGAAGGUUUUCUGAGGUACUACGGUAUCAAGGUUGAUCUUUUUGGUUAUACUUCUAUUCGCUUAGGUUGUUGGCUUAA